CAUAUCAAUAAGCGGAGGAAAAGAAACCAACAGGGAUUGCCCCAGUAACGGCGAGUGAAGCGGCAACAGCUCAAAUUUGAAAUCUGGCCCCUAGGGCCCGAGUUGUAAUUUGCAGAGGAUGCUUUUGGCGAGGUGCCUUCCGAGUUCCCUGGAACGGGACGCCAUAGAGGGUGAGAGCCCCGUCUGGUUGGAUGCCGAGCCUCUGUAAAGCUCCUUCGACGAGUCGAGUAGUUUGGGAAUGCUGCUCUAAAUGGGAGGUAUAUGUCUUCUAAAGCUAAAUACCGGCCAGAGACCGAUAGCGCACAAGUAGAGUGAUCGAAAGAUGAAAAGCACUUUGAAAAGAGGGUUAAAUAGUACGUGAAAUUGUUGAAAGGGAAGCACUUAUGACCAGACUUGGACCCGGUGAAUCAUCCAGCGUUCUCGCUGGUGCACUUUGCCGGGCUCAGGCCAGCAUCAGUUUGCCCCGGGGGAUAAAGGCUUUGGGAAUGUGGCUCCCUCGGGAGUGUUAUAGCCCAUUGCACAAUACCCUGGGGCGGACUGAGGUUCGCGCAUCUGCAAGGAUGCUGGCGUAAUGGUCAUCAGUGACCCGUCUUGAAACACGGACC
rnacentral:rRNA from 1 species